UGUAAAUUGAACAUUUUUAAAUUGGACAACAGUCAUAACUGGAGUGCCUCAGUGUGCUUUUUGGGUUAACUUCUCCUUAAUCUGUUUAUAAAUUAUCUUGAAGUGGGCAUUGAAAGUCACGUGUCUGUGUUUUCAAAUGACAUACCACAAGGUAAGAUAAUAGAGUCUGAACAUAAUAUAACUUCUUUACAGAGGAACUUGGAUAAAUUGGGGCACUUGGAAGGCAAGUGGUAGAUGAGAUUGAAUACAGAUAAAUACAUUCAUGCAUUUAGAAAUAAGGAGCAAACAAUCCACUUAUACAUUAAAUGAGCUUGAAUUGUGAAUACCAUCACAUGAAAACAACCUUGAAACAGUGAUAGAUAAACUAGACAACAGUGCACAAUGCCAGUCUGCUAUUACAAAGC